GAUGAACGCUAGCGGCAGGCCUAACACAUGCAAGUCGAGGGGCAUCAGGGGUAGCAAUACCCGCUGGCGACCGGCGCACGGGUGAGUAACGCGUAUGCAACCUGCCCGCCACAGGGGGAUAGCCCGCCGAAAGGCGGAUUAAUACCCCAUCGUCCCGUUCCCUGGCAUCAGGGGGUGGGUAAAGGUUACGGACGGGGAUGGGCAUGCGUGCCAUUAGCUUGUUGGCGGGGUAACGGCCCACCAAGGCUACGAUGGCUAGGGGAGCUGAGAGGCUGAACCCCCACACUGGUACUGAGACACGGACCAGACUCCUACGGGAGGCAGCAGUGAGGAAUAUUGGUCAAUGGGCGAGAGCCUGAACCAGCCAUGCCGCGUGCAGGAAGACGGCCCUACGGGUUGUAAACUGCUUUUCUGUGGGAAGAACGGCCCCGACGCGAUCGGGGUGUGACGGUACCGCAGGAAUAAGGAUCGGCUAACUCCGUGCCAGCAGCCGCGGUAAUACGGAGGAUCCGAGCGUUAUCCGGAUUUACUGGGUUUAAAGGGUGCGUAGGCGGCUCCCUCAGUCAGCGGUGAAAUGUGCAGGCUUAACCUGCAACCGGCCGUUGAUACUGGGGAGCUUGAGUUGGGUUGAGGCAGGCGGAAUGUGCGGUGUAGCGGUGAAAUGCAUAGAUAUCGCACAGAACGCCGAUUGCGUAGGCAGCUUGCCAAGCCCACACUGACGCUGAGGCACGAAAGCGUGGGGAUCAAACA
rnacentral:rRNA from 1 species